rnacentral:rRNA from 1 species
GCUCGAGUGGCGAACGGGUGAGUAACACGUGAGUAACCUGCCCUUGACUUUGGGAUAACUUCAGGAAACUGGGGCUAAUACCGGAUAGGAGCUCCUGCUGCAUGGUGGGGGUUGGAAAGUUUCGGCGGUUGGGGAUGGACUCGCGGCUUAUCAGCUUGUUGGUGGGGUAGUGGCUUACCAAGGCUUUGACGGGUGGCCGGCCCGAGAGGGUGACCGGCCACAUUGGGACUGAGAUACGGCCCAG